rnacentral:lncRNA from 1 species
GACAAUACAAAAACAAAAAGAUGGUUUCAUUUGGCAAAUGUUUCUUCCUUAUGUUCUUAUGCUUUGCUCUUUUCCUGUCUCCAAGUAAGCCAUUUUUCUAUUUGAUAUUAACACUUAGAGUCGAAUACACAAAUUGUUAUUCUUUUCUUUGUUAUAAAACAUUGGGGUAUAUAAGAGCCAAAAGAUCAAUAUCUAGUGACUCUUUUUUAAUCUUUUUGAAUACUUUUUUGUUUGUUUGUUUUGUUAAAAGCUGUGUUUUGAAUACUAAACUCAUGUUCUCUCUAUAAAAAUAAAAAUGUUCAGAACAUGUUGAAGCGGAAGAUUGGAGUCCACGGCUAUUUCGGAUGGGACCUUGCGAUGAUAUUCUCGACUGCCAAAAAAAAUGCUUUGCGCGAUUCUCUGCACGUGCGACAUGCCAGUUAUCUCCAGGGUCCAUUGACCUUCCUAAAGAAACAUGUUUUUGCCUUGUCUAAAUCUUAUAUAGUUAUAUCAUCUCUAUAUGUAUGAAUAUUUGAUUGUUAAAAACAUUUAAAUAAAAU